AAAGGUAAGCUACUAAGAGCGAAUGGUGGAUGCCUUGACUGGUAAAGGCGAUGAAGGACGUACUAGACUGCGAUAAGCUACGGGGAGCUGUCAAGAAGCUUUGAUCCGUAGAUUUCCGAAUGGGGCAACCCAAUGUAUAGAGAUAUACAUUACCUAUAUAGGAGCGAACGAGGGGAAUUGAAACAUCUUAGUACCCUCAGGAAAAGAAAUCAAUAGAGAUUGCGUCAGUAGCGGCGAGCGAAAGCGCAAGAGGGCAAACCCAGUGCUUGCACUGGGGGUUGUAGGACUGCAAUGUGCAAGAGGUAAGUUUAGCAGAACAUUCUGGAAAGUAUAACCAUAGAGGGUGAUAGUCCCGUAUGCGAAAAACAAACCUUAGCUAGCAGUAUCCUGAGUAGGGCGGGACACGAGGAAUCCUGUCUGAAUCCGGGUCGACCACGAUCCAACCCUAAAUACUAAUACCAGAUCGAUAGUGCACAAGUACCGUGAGGGAAAGGUGAAAAGAACUGAGGUGAUCAGAGUGAAAUAGAACCUGAAACCAUUUGCUUACAAUCAUUCAGAGCCCUAUGUAGCAAUACAGGGUGAUGGACUGCCUUUUGCAU
rnacentral:rRNA from 1 species